rnacentral:tRNA from 1 species
GGCCUGAUAGUUCAGUGGUAGAAUUCUUGCUUUGGGCAAUUUCUAAAUGUAAGAGGUCUCCGGUUCAAUCCCGGAUUAGGCCC